GAGCUUGCCUUAGCAGCACAGACGCCGACAUUGAAAGGGUACAGAGAAGAUUAACAUGCCCCUGAGCAAGGAUGGCAUGCAAAGAAACUCCUGAAGCAUUCCGUAUUUAA
rnacentral:snRNA from 1 species